rnacentral:rRNA from 1 species
GAUGAACGCUGGCGGCGUGCCUAAUACAUGCAAGUCGAGCGACCGGACGAGAAGCUUGCUUCUCUGAUGUUAGCGGCGGACGGGUGAGUAACACGUGGAUAACCUACCUAUAAGACUGGGAUAACUUCGGGAAACCGGAGCUAAUACCGGAUAAUAUUUUGAACCGCAUGGUUCAAAAGUGAACGACGGUCUUGCUGUCACUUAUAGAUGGAUCCGCGCUGCAUUAGCUAGUUGGUAAGGUAACGGCUUACCAAGGCAACGAUGCAUAGCCGACCUGAGAGGGUGAUCGGCCACACUGGAACUGAGACACGGUCCAGACUCCUACGGGAGGCAGCAGUAGGGAAUCUUCCGCAAUGGGCGAAAGCCUGACGGAGCAACGCCGCGUGAGUGAUGAAGGUCUUCGGAUCGUAAAACUCUGUUAUUAGGGAAGAACAUAUGUGUAAGUAACUGUGCACAUCUUGACGGUACCUAAUCAGAAAGCCACGGCUAACUACGUG